ACGUGGGGCCCCUUCGUCCCCGGCGUCCGGGCGCCUCGUACCAGCCCCCACCUUGGCCUCAGUCCGGCGGCUGCGUCCGCUACGCAGAAAGACUUGAGAGUCACCCACCCCACCAAGUGCCGCUCGGGCUUGUGGUGUUUGGGGAUGUGCUAGGAACUCGGGCCACUAGAAGAAUGGCGUCCAUUUACAUAAUGCUUUGUUUGCAUUUUGUUGGCUUCUGUUAGCGAAGCCCCACCUCCUGCCCUUGUGUUUUAUCUCCCACGAUAGCUUCUGAAACUUUAGAGGGGCAGUGCGCAUUGUUGGGGUGCCGGCAUGGCCCCCGUGUCCGCGCUGGCUCGCGAGCCGCUUGGGCCACGCUCUCUGGAGGCGGCCAACCCUCGGCGCGGCCGCCAUCUUGGGAGGUCUUCCUGACCGAGCCCUCCCGCCAGGAAAUGGCCAUCGGAACGCUGGAGAGCGGCUGUGAUUUCCUUGCCAGUUCCUUGUGCCGCCGCCAUAGUCAGCCUAGAGGAGAGCAAGACAAACCCAGAGAAAUGAAGUGACUGACCCAAGGUUAUACAGAACGGAAUCUAUAUCUUCUGAUUUCCCUACUGCCAUGGUGACUGCAUCAGCCUGAGAAGACUGAGCUGCUUGAGAUUUCAGGGGACUGGAGAUGGCUCAAGAGUUGAGAGCUUUGGCUGUGGCUUGGGAGAAAACAAGACUUGAAAGGAGCAGAUCUUGUUUCACCACAUGUCUUGCCUCAGUAUGUGAGUCUGUGUCAGCUGACUUCAUUCUGUCAGUCCACCUGAGUCUGAGGACGUGGAAGAAGCUGCCAGCACACCAGAAGGUUUUUGCUCAGGCUGGCCUUGAGGAUGACCCUGAGCUUCUGACCUUGCCUGCCAUCUCUCAGGUGCUGGAAUUACAGGCGGAAACAUGGUAGCACCGUGCUUCAGAAGGUGACUGUGAAGCUAGAUUGCCUAACCUUGGAUGCAUCACAUAUCUUCCUCUGUCCCUCAGACCUUUGUGGGCUGCAGAAAUGCUAAGAGUGCCUGCUUCUCUUCAAGAAGACCAGAGUUCGAUUUCCAGCAUCCAUAUUCAGGAGCUCUAGGGAAUUCAACAUUCUCUUCUUGACCUCCUCAAGCACCCCUGCACAUAUGGCUUAUAAACACAUAAACACACAGGAAGAAAAAGUAAAAGAAAUCUUAAAAACA